GACUAACACAGGAUCUGUCGCGGGUUCGGGGCCGCGGUCCGGUGGUGUGCUGUAAGUCAGUAGCGGCUGAGUCUGUUGGCACACAAAGUAGCGUACUUUCAAGGCGGCUUUUCCUCAGUGUUAUGACCGUGUUUAAUUUGUACAUUUACAACCGUGAUGGUGUCCUUAUUUAUUAUCAGGAGUGGUCAAGGAAAAAACCUAUGACGAUGUCCCUCGAUGAGGAGGCACGCCUGUUAUAUGGGAUGCUCUUCUCCCUGAAAUCAUUCUCCAACCGCAUAUCACCACUAGAUGUCCAAGAUGGAGUCCAAUCUUUCAUGACCAACAAGUAUAAGAUGACACUCUAUGAGACACCUACCUCACUGAAAUUUGUUUGCAACACUGAUUGCAAUGCUCCUGGUGUGCAUGAACUGCUGCAAAAGCUUUACAGUCAGGUGUACGUUGAGUACGUCAUCAGGAACCCAGCCUGCCAACCAGCAGCGCCCAUCAACAGUGAACUCUUCAAAGCCAAGCUUGACGAAACAGUGAAAAGGUCGCCAGCCUUCGCGUCAAAAGUGUCUUAGCCUGUAAGAAGCACCAAAUAUGUUUGAUGUGUUGUCCCGUUUAAUAUGCUCCGUGGAUCGUCGCAGAUAAAGUUGCCUCGGACAUUACAAGAAACACCUGGAAGGUUUCAAGUUCGCUGUCGAGACGGACAGAGAAUGUGACCUGGUAACCGGCUCGGGAUGGUGGGCCUAGCGUGAGGUCUAGUGGACUUCUCGGGCGUUGUGGGUAUGGAACCACUACGUCCUCGCUUUGAAAACGGUAAAAACGCUCUGGCAAUCGCUGCCAGACGUUUCAGGCCGCAUUUCUCUGUAAGCUCUUGAGAAACGUAUUGUGUGAUUAGGUGGCGAAUGGCCAUAUUUCAGCAGGCAAAAAUAAAAAUAAAAUGAGAUGGCCAAGCAAAGGAAAA